AUUGAACGCUGGCGGAAUGCUUUACACAUGCAAGUCGAGCGGCAGCACGGGGGCAACCCUGGUGGCGAGCGGCGAACGGGUGAGUAAUACAUCGGAACAUGCCCAGUCGUGGGGGAUAACACUUCGAAAGAAGUGCUAAUACCGCAUACGUCCUGAGGGAGAAAGCGGGGGAUCUUCGGACCUCGCGCGAUUGGAGUGGCCGAUGUCAGAUUAGCCAGUUGGUGGGGUAAAGGCCUACCAAGGCAACGAUCUGUAGCUGGUCUGAGAGGCUGAUCAGCCACACUGGGACUGAGACACGGCCCAGACUCCUACGGGAGGCAGCAGUGGGGAAUUUUGGACAAUGGGGGCAACCCUGAUCCAGCCAUUCCGCGUGAGUGAAGAAGGCCUUCGGGUUGUAAAGCUCUUUCGGCAGGAACGAAACGGCGAGCUCUAACAUAGCUUGCUAAUGACGGUACCUGAAGAAGAAGCACCGGCUAACUACGUGCCAGCCGCCGCAGUAAAAC
rnacentral:rRNA from 1 species